rnacentral:rRNA from 1 species
UGCCCGGUCCCCAGGGAUAACUGCUCGAAUGAUCUAUAAUACCGCAUACCACCUGCGGGAGAAAUCCGUGGAUCGCAAGACCUCGCGCGAUUGGAGCGGCCGAUAUCAGAUUAGGUAGUUGGUGAGGUAAACGCUCACCAAGCCGACGAUCUGUAGCUGGUCUGAGAGGACGACCAGCCACACUGGGACUGAGACACGGCCCAGACUCCUACGGGAGGCAGCAGUGGGGAAUUUUGGACAAUGGGCGCAAGCCUGAUCCAGCCAUGCCGCGUGCGGGAAGAAGGCCUUCGGGUUGUAAACCGCUUUUGUCAGGGAAGAAAACGUUCUGGCUAAUACCUGGGACUCAUGACGGUACCUGAAGAAUAAGCACCGGCUAACUACGUGCCAGCAGCCGCGGUAAUACGUCGGGUGCAACCGUUAAUCGAAGUUACUGGGCGUAAAGCGUGCGCAGGCGGUUAUGCAACACAAAUGUGAAAUCCCCGGGCUCAACCUGGGAACUGCCUUUGUGACGCAUGGCUAGAGUACGGUAGAGGGGGAUGGAAUUCCGCGUGUAGCAGUUAAAUGCGUAAUAUGCGGAUGAACACCGAUGGCUAAGGCAAUCCCCUGGACCUGUACUGACGCUCUGCACUAAGCAUGGGGAGCAACGGGAUUAGAUACCCUGUUAUCCACGCCCAAACGAUAUCAACUGAUGUUGGGAGGCUUCUUCUCGUUACGUAGCUAAGCGUCAAUUUACCCCUGGGGAGUACGCCGCAAGUUAAACUCAAAGGAUUGACGGGAACCACACAGGCGCGGAUAUGUGGUUUAAUCGAUGCACACGAAAACCUUACUACCUUGAAGGUCUGGAA